rnacentral:rRNA from 1 species
GAUGAACGCUGGCGGCGUGCCUAAUACAUGCAAGUCGAACGCAUUUUCUUUCACCGUAGCUUGCUACACCGAAAGAAAAUGAGUGGCGAACGGGUGAGUAACACGUGGGUAACCUGCCCAUCAGCGGGGGAUAACACUUGGAAACAGGUGCUAAUACCGCAUAAUUCCAUUUACCGCAUGGUAGAUGGGUGAAAGGCGCUUUUGCGUCACUGAUGGAUGGACCCGCGGUGCAUUAGCUAGUUGGUGGGGUAACGGCCUACCAAGGCUGCGAUGCAUAGCCGACCUGAGAGGGUGAUCGGCCACACUGGGACUGAGACACGGCCCAGACUCCUACGGGAGGCAGCAGUAGGGAAUCUUCGGCAAUGGACGCAAGUCUGACCGAGCAACGCCGCGUGAGUGAAGAAGGUUGUCGGAUCGUAAAACUCUGUUGUUAGAGAAGAACAAGGAUGAGAGUGGAAAGUUCAUCCCUUGACGGUAUCUAACCAGAAAGCCACGGCUAACUACGUG